rnacentral:RNase_P_RNA from 1 species
CAAGAAAGUUGGACGAUUGCUGUGUUUUUCACAGAGGAAAGUCCGGGCUCCUCAAGAGCAAAGUGCCAGGUAACGCCUGGCGAAGGUGACUUCAGAGAAAGUGCCACAGAAAAUAUACCGCCAAACGUAAUGUUUGGUAAGGGUGAAAAGGCGGAGUAAGAGCCCACCACACCGAUGGUAACAGCGGUGGUAAGGUAAACCUCACUUGGAGCAAGACUAAAUAGGGACAUGAGUCAAUCUUUGACAUGCAAGCUUUUGUGCAUAUCAUGUCCGGGUUGGUUGCUUGAAGUUGGGCGGCGACGCUCAGCUCAGAUGAAUAAUCGUUGUCACGCCGGUCGUAUAGCCGGCGCGUUACAGAACCCGGCUUAUAGACUUUCUUGCCAU